UGUACGCAAGUGUCGCGUGACUUUUUAAAAAUAUUAAAGAGAAGGUUUGGCGAGGGGGGAGGAUAUAAGCUUAUCUUUACGCUCCGGGGCCCCAUCCGCGGCGGCCGCGUGCUCGCGCCAGCGUUUUCUUACGCGCGUACGAGCGAAUACCGCGGCGAAUUUUAGCCGAUACGUUGCCGCGGGGUGACGCGAGUAAGCGUUUCCGCGGGGGUGAGCUCGCACCAGCGUUUUUCCGAGCACCGCUGCUGAUGAGCUUAUGUACGUGGUGCUUUUCCCUAUGCUAUUCGCUUGUGACGGAUAUAACAUUAUUUUUUAACGUUUUUUAACGCUCGAGGAUCGAACUACAGUGCGAUGUUCUACUCUCACAGUAAAACUCGAGGAAACAAUAUUAUAGGAGGAGGAGAAGGAGAAUAAAAGAAAAUGUUCAGAUUUAAGAUAGAAACAGUUUCAUUUAUUAGCGAUAUUUUUUUAAUAAAAAAUUAAGAUUUGCAUUUUAGCAAAAUAAUACGGAGAAUUUCAUUAAAUCGAAGCGUAAGUAAUUCUACAAAUACAUUGUUAAAGUAAACAUCUAAAAAUGUUAAGUUAUUUAUUUGCGUUUGUACAUUACGUUCAAUUUCCUGAUAAUUGCCUCUGAUAGUAAGUUUUAUAAUUUCACGAUCGAUGUAAGACGAGGAAAGUUUUAAUUCUAUUUCGUUAAUUAAAUAUCUCGCAGUUGCAUCAACAGUAUCGACUAUGGAAACUAGCUGCGUCAAAUGUGCAUCCACGCAUUUUCUAAUAUGUUCCAAGCCGAGAAAAGUAGUUUUCUGCAUCACUAUUGCAACUGCGUAAGUCUUUCGUUUCUUCAACGGCGAUUGAGAUUCUUCUUCUUCUUCUUCUUCUUCUUCUUCUUCCGCUUUAUCUUUCGUUACACGAUCUUUGUUUUCCUUGUAUGCCACCAGUACAGCCCUCGCUCCGUAAGCAGUAGUGAAGAUGAUCGAAAUAUUCUCGAUAAUUAUAGGAACUGGUUUAAUCUUUAGAUUCUCAUUCAAGUAUAGAUUCAUAUGUUCCAUAUUGAUUUGAAAUUGAUGCCACGUGUUGACGUCGAAACAAAUUCCUUCGGCGUAAUUGUCCGUUAAUUUAACAAUCGGCGUGAAGCCGCCAUCGUUCUUCGACUGCAAUCCAACAUGCAUCUUCUUAGUGUGAGAAGAAUUAAGUCCGUACGUCGUCGAUAACAAUAAGUAACGUUGUUCGUGACUUCUGGCGUUAUCGAUGUCGAUGCCGUCGUUGUUAGCUAUCUUGCGAAUAUUGCGAUUGCGAUCGAAUUUCGCAAAACCGGUCACUUCCUUGCGCAUAACCAUUGUUUUCACUUGUAAAACUUCACGAAUAGUCAAGACAAUCCGGUAAAAUGGCAAAACUGCGAGGAAUUUUUUUCUUCGUACCUUGAACUUGUAUUUCUGCACACUCGAACUCGAAUAAAUGCGAAAGAACGGCUUGUCGACUCGCUUAUAUUGCCGUUCUCCCUCUUCCGCAAAAAUUGAAAAAUAAAAGUGGGGAAGACGUAUUUUACGUAAAAAAUCAUGAUUUUUUAUGUUCAGUCCUGUACGCGUUAAAUAAAAAAUUUCUAGAAAUAUUUAGAAAUUUCUAGAAACGAGAUCAUGUAACGCGAAAUAAGGACAAAAAAAAAUCUGUGUAUGUAAGUGAAUAAACGAAAAAUCAAUUUUUCAUGUCAAAUCGAAUUCUUAUGUUUAAACAAACAUGUAUCAAACAAAAAGAAAACGCUCGGGAGAUUUGAUUUGAAAAUAUUUUUUAUCCUUAAAAAAUAUAGCAAGGGGUUUACGAGUUCGAGAACGCGUGACUAGGACAAAGAUUGGAGUAUCGUUAAAUGUUGUCAAAAAAAAGGGUUGAGAUUUAAUACAUGCAGCAAUAUAUGACGGAAUAAAAGAUCAAUCCUUUUGAUUUUUUGAAAUUUAUUGUAUCUCGUAAAAUAAAAAAAAUAUAUUUUACGAUUUUCCGAACUACAUUGAGAAACUAAUUGUAAAACUUAAUAACAUCAUCUGAAAUAUUUGCCACAAAGGAAAUGGACGCUCGCCAAUGAAAUAACUAAAAAUUUUUUUGUCACGCCUAUUUGUGAAGAAAAAGCACAUUCCGAAGGUAGAUGACAAAUUAAGAAACGUUUUAGUUUUAAGAAACACCCAGAAUUUAAAAAAAGCAUUAUCCGAUAGGUGAGUAAACUAGAUUAAGAAUACUCUUUGCCCCUUCCUUCGUGAAAAACGGAGAAAUCGCUAGCGAGAAAAUUGAAAUUUUUUUUUCGAUUCUCCCGCUCUUUCAAAAUCUAAACGGGGUAAAAAUGUCGAAUUUUUCGACGGGGAAUGAAGUAUAAAUUUCCCACAGUACAAAAGAAAAUGUGCAUUUUAAGUUCGACAUUGUCCGAAAUACUUGUCAGUUUCUCGAACGUACGCGUUUGUGAUAUUGUGUUGUGAAUUUAGUGCGAGUGAAAAUGUCGGCUCCGAAAAUGCUGAUAUCUACGUGUAUAAAUUUGGCAGCAAAUUUAUCGCGGGAGAUCAAGCCAGAGACGUAUCUGCCCCACCUGACAGAAGAUCGGGAAAAUAAUUAUAAUAUUUUCAAGAAAUUCGCAUAUUCGAUUUCAAACUCCUUACUCGGAGUUCUGUACAGGUUGGGGCAUUUCGGGGGUGAUAUGGAAUUAUUAAACAUUGCCGCCAAAGUUAUUGCGUUUCGCGAAGAUUUGCGACACGAAGAAAAGGAUGUUGGCGGAUAUGCCGCUUAUCUGCUAGCGAACCAUCGAAGAAUGGAGAUAAGAGGUAAUUAUUUUAUAUACUUUUAACGUGCCGGUAAUUGAAUUACAAACUUAAAUCAUUAUUAAUAAUCCGUAGCAAACUCUCCAGUAAAUCUCGCGAUAAUUCGUCCCUCUUAAAAGAGACGAGCGGCAGAAGAGCCCGAGACAGGACCCUCACAGAGAGCGCGAAUACUGCCGGCGGAAAAUCCGGUUCCAAUUGUCAUCGAUAUAGCGGACGACGACGACGACGAUGAUGCUAACAGCGUUAUGCACAAAGCUAAUGACGAUGGCGUCGACGACAACGAGGACAAUUCUAUCAUCGACGUAAGCUCGGCGGAUAACGCGAUAUUUACACCAGCGGGAAGAGGAACCGGAAGAGGAAGAAGAA